rnacentral:rRNA from 1 species
GGGUUGUGAGGUUAAGCGACUAAGCGUACACGGUGGAUGCCCUGGCAGUCAGAGGCGAUGAAGGACGUGCUAAUCUGCGAUAAGCGUCGGUAAGGUGAUAUGAACCGUUAUAACCGGCGAUUUCCGAAUGGGGAAACCCAGUGUGUUUCGACACACUAUCAUUAACUGAAUCCAUAGGUUAAUGAGGCGAACCGGGGGAACUGAAACAUCUAAGUACCCCGAGGAAAAGAAAUCAACCGAGAUUCCCCCAGUAGCGGCGAGCGAACGGGGAGCAGCCCAGAGCCUAAAUCAGUGUGUGUGUUAGUGGAAGCGUCUGGAAAGGCGCGCGAUACAGGGUGACAGCCCCGUACACAAAAAUGCACAUGCUGUGAGCUCGAUGAGUAGGGCGGGACACGUGGUAUCCUGUCUGAAUAUGGGGGGACCAUCCUCCAAGGCUAAAUACUCCUGACUGACCGAUAGUGAACCAGUACCGUGAGGGAAAGGCGAAAAGAACCCCGGCGAGGGGAGUGAAAAAGAACCUGAAACCGUGUACGUACAAGCAGUGGGAGCACGCUUAGGCGUGUGACUGCGUACCUUUUGUAUAAUGGGUCAGCGACUUAUAUUCUGUAGCAAGGUUAACCGAAUAGGGGAGCCGAAGGGAAACCGAGUCUUAACUGGGCGUUAAGUUGCAGGGUAUAGACCCGAAACCCGGUGAUCUAGCCAUGGGCAGGUUGAAGGUUGGGUAACACUAACUGGAGGACCGAACCGACUAAUGUUGAAAAAUUAGCGGAUGACUUGUGGCUGGGGGUGAAAGGCCAAUCAAACCGGGAGAUAGCUGGUUCUCCCCGAAAGCUAUUUAGGUAGCGCCUCGUGAAUUCAUCUCCGGGGGUAGAGCACUGUUUCGGCAAGGGGGUCAUCCCGACUUACCAACCCGAUGCAAACUGCGAAUACCGGAGAAUGUUAUCACGGGAGACACACGGCGGGUGCUAACGUCCGUCGUGAAGAGGGAAACAACCCAGACCGCCAGCUAAGGUCCCAAAGUCAUGGUUAAGUGGGAAACGAUGUGGGAAGGCCCAGACAGCCAGGAUGUUGGCUUAGAAGCAGCCAUCAUUUAAAGAAAGCGUAAUAGCUCACUGGUCGAGUCGGCCUGCGCGGAAGAUGUAACGGGGCUAAACCAUGCACCGAAGCUGCGGCAGCGACGCUUAUGCGUUGUUGGGUAGGGGAGCGUUCUGUAAGCCUGUGAAGGUGUGCUGUGAGGCAUGCUGGAGGUAUCAGAAGUGCGAAUGCUGACAUAAGUAACGAUAAAGCGGGUGAAAAGCCCGCUCGCCGGAAGACCAAGGGUUCCUGUCCAACGUUAAUCGGGGCAGGGUGAGUCGACCCCUAAGGCGAGGCCGAAAGGCGUAGUCGAUGGGAAACAGGUUAAUAUUCCUGUACUUGGUGUUACUGCGAAGGGGGGACGGAGAAGGCUAUGUUGGCCGGGCGACGGUUGUCCCGGUUUAAGCGUGUAGGCUGGUUUUCCAGGCAAAUCCGGAAAAUCAAGGCUGAGGCGUGAUGACGAGGCACUACGGUGCUGAAGCAACAAAUGCCCUGCUUCCAGGAAAAGCCUCUAAGCAUCAGGUAACAUCAAAUCGUACCCCAAACCGACACAGGUGGUCAGGUAGAGAAUACCAAGGCGCUUGAGAGAACUCGGGUGAAGGAACUAGGCAAAAUGGUGCCGUAACUUCGGGAGAAGGCACGCUGAUAUGUAGGUGAAGUCCCUCGCGGAUGGAGCUGAAAUCAGUCGAAGAUACCAGCUGGCUGCAACUGUUUAUUAAAAACACAGCACUGUGCAAACACGAAAGUGGACGUAUACGGUGUGACGCCUGCCCGGUGCCGGAAGGUUAAUUGAUGGGGUCAGCGCAAGCGAAGCUCUUGAUCGAAGCCCCGGUAAACGGCGGCCGUAACUAUAACGGUCCUAAGGUAGCGAAAUUCCUUGUCGGGUAAGUUCCGACCUGCACGAAUGGCGUAAUGAUGGCCAGGCUGUCUCCACCCGAGACUCAGUGAAAUUGAACUCGCUGUGAAGAUGCAGUGUACCCGCGGCAAGACGGAAAGACCCCGUGAACCUUUACUAUAGCUUGACACUGAACAUUGAGCCUUGAUGUGUAGGAUAGGUGGGAGGCUUUGAAGUGUGGACGCCAGUCUGCAUGGAGCCGACCUUGAAAUACCACCCUUUAAUGUUUGAUGUUCUAACGUUGACCCGUAAUCCGGGUUGCGGACAGUGUCUGGUGGGUAGUUUGACUGGGGCGGUCUCCUCCUAAAGAGUAACGGAGGAGCACGAAGGUUGGCUAAUCCUGGUCGGACAUCAGGAGGUUAGUGCAAUGGCAUAAGCCAGCUUGACUGCGAGCGUGACGGCGCGAGCAGGUGCGAAAGCAGGUCAUAGUGAUCCGGUGGUUCUGAAUGGAAGGGCCAUCGCUCAACGGAUAAAAGGUACUCCGGGGAUAACAGGCUGAUACCGCCCAAGAGUUCAUAUCGACGGCGGUGUUUGGCACCUCGAUGUCGGCUCAUCACAUCCUGGGGCUGAAGUAGGUCCCAAGGGUAUGGCUGUUCGCCAUUUAAAGUGGUACGCGAGCUGGGUUUAGAACGUCGUGAGACAGUUCGGUCCCUAUCUGCCGUGGGCGCUGGAGAACUGAGGGGGGCUGCUCCUAGUACGAGAGGACCGGAGUGGACGCAUCACUGGUGUUCGGGUUGUCAUGCCAAUGGCACUGCCCGGUAGCUAAAUGCGGAAGAGAUAAGUGCUGAAAGCAUCUAAGCACGAAACUUGCCCCGAGAUGAGUUCUCCCUGACCCUUUAAGGGUCCUGAAGGAACGUUGAAGACGACGACGUUGAUAGGCCGGGUGUGUAAGCGCAGCGAUGCGUUGAGCUAACCGGUACUAAUGAACCGUGAGGCUUAACCUUACAACGCCGAAG